rnacentral:rRNA from 1 species
UUCAGACGAUGCGUCAUGCAUAUCAAUAAGCGGAGGAAAAGAAACUAACAAGGAUUCCCUUAGUAACGGCGAGUGAAGCGGGAAGAGCUCAAAUUUGAAAUCUUCAGGGUUUUACCUUGACGAAUUGUAGUUUAAAGAAGUGUUUUCUGUUAGAGUUUUGGUAAAAGUUCUUUGGAAUAGGACAUCAUAGAGGGUGAGAAUCCCGUAUUUGACCAUUAUUUUCAGCUGUGUGAUACACUUUCAAAGAGUCGGAUUGUUUGGGAAUGCAGUCCAAAAUGGGUGGUAAAUUUCAUCUAAAGCUAAAUAUUGGCGAGAGACCGAUAGCGAACAAGUACCGUGAGGGAAAAAUGAAAAGAACUUUGAAAAGAGAGUUAAACAGUACGUGAAAUUGUCAAAAGGGAAGCGUUUGACACCAGUGUUGUUUUCUCGAAAAUCAAUUAAAAAUGAGCUCGAUUUUGUAUUGCUGUAUGACCUUAAAAGUUGCACUUUACAAUUUUUCUUGUCUUUUUUAAUGCACUUUUCGUUUAACAAGUCAACAUCAGUUUCUUUUGUUGUAAAAGGGUCAUUGGAAGGUGGCUUUCUUUACGGAGAAAGUGUUUAUAGCCUUUGCCUCUGCAAUCGGAGAGACUGAGGUCUGCAGCGUAGACUCUUCGGGGUUAGAUACAUUUGUGCUAAGUUAUAGCUUUUUAUAGACGACUUGUUGACUAUAAUUAGUCUUGUAGCUUACUCGCUUAUGCUAUUUUACCUACGCUUAGGAUGUUGAGUCGUAGAGCACGCAG